rnacentral:sRNA from 1 species
UGAGUUCAGAGGGGGAGAACAAGACCCACAGAC